AGAGAGAGAGAGAGAGAGAGAGAGAGAGAGAGAGAGACGGAGAGAGAGAGAGAGAGAGAGAGAGAGAGAGAGAGAGAGAGAGAGAGAGAGAGAGAGAGAGAGAGAGAGAGAGAGAGAGAGAGUGUGUGUUGGAGCGUAUCAGAGGUCCUGCGAGUUGGGUUUCCACCUGUGUGAUGGACAGUAUAUCAAUAAUACUAACAUGGAGAAGUCAAAGUAAAAGCUUUGGGUAGUGUAGAAAGGGAAUAACAAUGAACAGUGGAUAUGUGUGGUUAUAUCAGAUACAGUUGGUAGCUAUAGUGAAAUUAGUUAGUACCAACCUGCUAGUCGAUACCUUAUACAGGAAGGGAAAAAUACAAUGAGAUUGGUCUCAGCAAAUAUAUGAUGAGCAAACAUUAAUAAAGUUUUAUCAUUAAAAUGUAUACAUUGACAAAGGUUAGACUUCUAGCUCUCUAUGCUGUGUUUGACCAGGGUUAGGGUUAUACAACCAGGGUUAGGGUUAUAGCUGUUAACCAGGGUAUGGGUUAUAGCUGUGUGUUAACCAGGGUUAUGGCUGUGUUAACCAGGGUUAGGGUUAUGGAACCAGGGUUAGGGUUCUAGCUCUGCGUUAACCAGGGUCGCGGUUAUAGCUCUGUGUUAACCAUAUGUUAACUAGGGUAAGGCGGGUUAUCGCUAUGUGUUACCUAGGAUUAGGAUUAUAGCUGUGUGUUAACCAGGGUUAUAGUUAGCUGUGUCUAACCAGGGUUAGGUUAUCGCUGUGUGUUAACCAGGGUUAUAGUUAGCUGUGUCUUACCAGGGUUAGGGUCAGUGAGGAAGUGCAACACUCCAGAGCCAGUCAUGUGUUUCCGCUGUCAGUCUGGCGUGGCUGACAUUCCUGUCCUGGAUCAGUGAACAGGACACAUAAACAGCAUUCAUCAUUUUAGAAACUGUCUGGGCAAAAGGAGCCGUCCAAACACCCAUAAUCGACCUCACACCCGGUGUGUCGCGGUGCUUUUGUCCCGACUAAGAAAAACAUUCGGUUUCAUUUCGGUUUCUUCAAAUCGUUUAUUGAUUACUAUACGUGUUUGGUAGAAUCUUCCUCUGCAAAGUGUUUUCUGUAAACUGCAAACUGGCAUUUCAGGUUUAUCUGUAGUAUUUUUUAAUUCAAAAUGAGAAUGUCUUAAAAACAUUUGAAAGUCUCAAAAUGUCUUAAUGAGACAUAUAUACAUAUAUUCAUUGAGUGUUUAUGUGUAUGUGUGUGUCAGUGAAUGUUUGUAUGUCAGUGAGAUUGUGUGCAUGCGUGUGGGUCAGUGUGUGUAUAUCAGUGAGUGUGUGUGUGUGCGUGUGUCAGUGUGUGUGUGUGUCUCAGUGUGUGUGUGUGUGUGUGUGUGUGUGUGUGUGUGUGUGUGUGUGUGUGUGUGUGUGUGUGUGUCUCAGUGUGUGUGUCUCAGUGUGUGUGUGUGUGUGUGUGUGUGUGUGUGUGUGUGUGUGUGUGUGUGUGUGUGUGUGUGUGUGUGUGUGUGUGUGUGUGUGUGUGCACUUGGGGAACAUUGAAGAUGCUAAGAGCAGCUCACCUGCCACCUGAGGCCCAUGACAACACUAACAUGCUACCAACAUACAAUAGGG
ensembl:lncRNA